GCUCUUUUAAGGGCCGAAAAACAUCUUUGGAAAUCAGCUGAAUAAAUCCAAUUCGAUCUUUUAAAGCCAUCUAAACACAGAACAUCUGAGCUUUGAGAAUUUGCAAAGCAACAACAUCACAAGAUCCAAGUAAUAAUACACAAUACAUUAGAACCUAAAACAUGUAUAGACCU